rnacentral:piRNA from 1 species
UGAACACGGAUACUCAGACACAUACCCU